AUUGAACGCUGGCGGCAGGCCUAACACAUGCAAGUCGAACGAGUGGCGGACGGGUGAGUAAUGUCUGGGAACCUGCCUGCUGGAGGGGGAUAACUACUGGAAACGGUAGCUAAUCCCGCAUACCAUCGGAUGUGCCCAGAUGGGAUUAGCUAGUAGGUGGGGUAACGGCUCACCUAGGCGACGAUCCCUAGCUGGUCUGAGAUGAUGACCAUCACCACUGGAACGUAGAGACGGUCCAGAGUCCUACGGGAGGCAGCAGUAGGGAAUAUGGCACAAUGGGCGCAAGCCUGAUGCAGCCAUGCCGCUUGUAUGAAGAAGGCCUUCGGGUUGUAAAGUACUUUCAGCGGGGAUGCGUUACCCGCAGAAGAAGCACCGGCUAACUCCGUGCCAGCCGCCGCGGUAAUUC
rnacentral:rRNA from 1 species